UCGGGAUAGCUCAGUUGGUAGAGCAGAGGACUGAAAAUCUCGACCCUCUCUCUAU
rnacentral:tRNA from 1 species